UGGAUGUGUGACCGCAAAUAGGAGGGAAGACGAGGAGGAAGAUGAAGGCAACUGAAUCCCAAGAGGCACCUGCAGCCAGGAAGGAAAGCUUGUUUUACAGCUUCCUGCCUUGCUGCCUGUUUCUUCCCAAGCCCCGUGUGGAAUGUGGUGACCUAGUCAGCUGGAACCAGCUUCUGACAGACCCCGGCAACUUCUAGAUGAACCCGAGUGAACUUUCCUCAUUACCAUCCUGAAGUCACUACCCCAGGGGGAGCUAUAGCUUCAUGACCGUAACAUGUGACCUGUGUGCUGGCAGGACGACUCACUGCGGCUGCGCCACUGGGACCCCUCCCCUACAUGCACCAAUGCACUCUCUCCCCUCUCCAUCACCCCAUAAAACCCUCCUGUCACUUUCCUUCAGAGACACCGC
rnacentral:sRNA from 1 species